CUGCUCGCCCCCUCCCAUGGCGCCUCCACCUCCCUGCGUGCCCUCUGCCCUUCUUCCUCCCCUGGCCGGGCUACUACGCAAAGCAGCGGCAGCAGCUUCCUUGGACGGCGCCCAGAAAUUCCAGCAGAGCUCGCCCCAUUUUUUUCCCUCCCUGGCCAAAGGUUCCCCCUGCUGCUAGCUCGGCAACCAUGGCGAGCAGCCCCCGGCAGCGAGCUCCUCCCUUGCUUUGCUGUCGGACGUCCCUGCCACUACCUCGCUCCCUCGUCGCGCAGCGAGCUCCAUCGCCGACCUGCGCAGCAAGCUGCAUGCUGCAGCAGCACGCCGUGA
rnacentral:misc_RNA from 1 species